rnacentral:rRNA from 1 species
AGAGUUUGAUCAUGGCUCAGGAUGAACGCUAGCUACAGGCUUAACACAUGCAAGUCGAGGGGAAACGACAUCGAAAGCUUGCUUUUGAUGGGCGUCGACCGGCGCACGGGUGAGUAACGCGUAUCCAACCUGCCCAUCACUUGGGGAUAACCUUGCGAAAGUAAGACUAAUACCCAAUGACGUCUCUAGAAGACAUCUGAAAGAGAUUAAAGAUUUAUCGGUGAUGGAUGGGGAUGCGUCUGAUUAGCUUGUUGGCGGGUAACGGCCACAAGGCGACGAUCAGCAGGGGUUCUGAGAGGAAGGUCCCCCANAUUGGAACUGAGACACGGUCCAAACUCCUACGGGAGCA